AUUAAAAAAAAAAAAAGACUGUCAUUCAUACCAUUCACACCUAAAGACUGAAUUUUAUCUGUUUCAAAAAUGAACUUAUCUCGCUACACAGAAGUAACAAAUAUGGUAGUCAGUUUUGUAUUUAGAAAUGUAUUGGUAGCAGGGAUGUUUUCAUAAUUUUCAGAGAUUAUGCAUUCUUCAUGAAUACUUUUGUAUUGCUGCUUGCAAAUAUGCAUUUCCAAACUUGAAAUAUAGGUGUGAACAGUGUGUACCAGUUUAAAGCUUUCACUUCAUUUGUGUUUUUUAAUUAAGGAUUUAGAAGUUCCCCCAAUUACAAACUGGUUUUAAAUAUUGG
rnacentral:lncRNA from 1 species